GACGAACGCUAGCGGCGUGCUUAACACAUGCAAGUCGAACGGAAAGGCCCUGCUUUUGUGGGGUGCUCGAGUGGCGAACGGGUGAGUAACACGUGAGUAACCUGCCCUUGACUUUGGGAUAACUUCAGGAAACUGGGGCUAAUACCGGAUAGGAGCUCCUGCUGCAUGGUGGGGGUUGGAAAGUUUCGGCGGUUGGGGAUGGACUCGCGGCUUAUCAGCUUGUUGGUGGGGUAGUGGCUUACCAAGGCUUUGACGGGUAGCCGGCCUGAGAGGGUGACCGGCCACAUUGGGACUGAGAUACGGCCCAGACUCCUACGGGAGGCAGCAGUGGGGAAUAUUGCACAAUGGGCGGAAGCCUGAUGCAGCAACGCCGCGUGCGGGAUGACGGCCUUCGGGUUGUAAACCGCUUUCGCCUGUGACGAAGCGUGAGUGACGGUAAUGGGUAAAGAUGCACCGGCUAACUACGUG
rnacentral:rRNA from 1 species